GAAUAAAGACUCCACGCCAGAUGAUGUACAAAUAAUUUAGUCUAUUUUAUUAUGGAACAUAGUAAGAACUGUGCUCCUUAGCUCCGCCCACCCUCACAUCCAGUCAAGUGGAAGGGUUUGGGUGGGACAGGAAAACAAAACAAAAAAAAAAUCAACCAAUAAGAUCACAGUCCGCUCGGCCAAAAAAACAGGAGAGGCUCAAAAUUGGGAACGCUUUACUGUCACACUGCUGGACGAAUGUCUCGGAUGCCUCUAGCUCAAACCACGGCCCCCCAAAAACAAUAAACUCUCUACUGCCCACUAUACGAUUUCCCAAACAUUCAAACCAGCUCCGGAAAGUGGAGUAAAGGGUGCGUGUUGUACACCCGUAUGAUACACUCUUAAAAAUAAAGGUUCCAAAAGGGGGUUUUCGCCAUAGUAGAACCAUUUUUGGUUCCUUAAAGAACCUUUGCAGUGAACAGGUUCUAAAAGAACCAAGUGUGAAGAACAUUUUAAUAAUCCAAAGAACCUUUUUUUCAAUAUAAAGAACCUUUUGUGGAAUGGAAAUGUUUCAAGGUUCUUUCUGGAACUACAGAUGCAGAUAAAAACCUUUAUUGUUAUAAGAGUGUACAUUUUUUAAAACUCUACAGUGGCUUUCUGUCCAACCGUUCAUGGAAUGUUCGAAGUUUUUUGACAAGUAUGAGAUUAACGGAAGAGCUUUAGGAAGAGCGAGGCGUCUGAAACACUAGCCCAACUUCAACACUUCAUCGCACACACGUACAUAGCGUCUCAUGAAGAAACAAACACUCAAGACAAGCAACAAUAGGAACGAAAAUGGAAAUGAAGGGGAGGGAAGAGAGACAUCUAACACAGGUUGCACACUUAGACAAUAACAGGUGAGUUAGAUAAGAAAGGUGAAUUCUGACAUACUAACAUAUGAAUUGUGAAAACAGACGCAAAUCCUUCGCCAACCACUCUGCGUUCCCAAGCACUCUCCUGGGCGCCUGAACCUCGCUGUGUUCAUCAACAAACAAUAAACGAACAAACAUACAACCAAUAGAAAGGAAACAACACAUGCCGUAUGAUGCCACUAAGUCAUUUACAAAAACAUUGAAAGAAACAAAUGACAACGAGCAAAGAAUGCGAGGAUAUAAAAACGUGUGGCAUCCCUCGGCAUUUACAGAAAGCAUGUUUAACUGGCUUUAGAUCGCAUCUAUGCUGUUGUUAACCUCUAUCGACACUAUUCUGUGAGUCGCUCACAGGCAGCUAAAUCUAUACAGUACCGUUAUUCUUCAUAGAUUUAUAGGUUGUUUUUUACACUGUACAAAGUUGGCAAAAAAAUACAUGAAUAAAUACAUAGAGUCAGAUUGUACACAUCAAGCGUGUGUUGAGACUUCGAGCGCUCUUCGCCGGAGAGGUGUAUCAGGGGGAACGAGAGCGAGCAAGAAGGACGUAAGCCCUCCAGACGGGCAAAAUAAUAUUGUGUUAUUGAAGUUUCAUUACUAGAGUCGUCUUUCAUCGGUCAGCACUCCUCCAUGUAGCAUAAUGAACAUGCGGUAAAACUUUAUAAUUAAAAUGUGUGUUUGUGUCACUGAAGUGGCUUCAAGGCUGCAAUGCGGAUUAAACUCAAAGUGCUGAGCGUGAGAGAAACAGAUUUUAUUGCCUGUAGAUUAUCAGAACAUGCUGUAACUCGAUUUCUCUUGCUCGUGAAAAACUUGCCUGGGCAAUUGGUGUUGGCCUGACAACUUUACAGAUUUCUCAUGUCUCCAUGAUAUUCUGGUGCCGAAAUAUGGUCCUCAAGGAUUUAGAGUUUAAACAUACAUUUUUUUAUUGUCCAAAUGGCGAAAAUCAUACAAUCUGGCGAGUUCUGAUGCCAACUGCAUGAAUUUUUGGGCUAUUUUAGCUUGUUUAAUCGCAUACACGUCACAUUUUUUGGCAUUUUGGACAGUGUAGAGCGAACAGGAAAUGAGGUGGUAGAGGUAGAGAGGGGGACAGGAUCAGGUCCACGAGCUGGGAUUCGAACUCAGGAUGCUCAAAAAAAGCAAUGACGCUAUAUGUCGAUGCUGCCCACGAGGCUAUCGGCACCGACUUUCUCACCAAUUUAUUUGUCUGAAUUGUGCAACACUUCGGUCAACAUCUUUUGAUUUGAAAUGUGCUAUAUAAAUAAACUUUGACAAUGUGUUAACAUGAAAAAAAAAGCUUAGAGGUUUGUUCAAAUCACUAGCCUUAACUUUUAAGCAAUAGUGAUGAUGCUGGCCUUAACAAGUACUGUACAAGCCAGCUCAUCAGGACUUGGAUUUGAUAGAAAUUUGGCCAGAGGGCUUCGGUUUUUAGGGUUUUGGCUGUAAAUUUCCAUGUAGAGAGAGACUGGUGGAUGAUAUCGUUAAGCCCUGCCAAACACACCAGGCAGCAGCAUAUGGGACACAGACAGGCUGCAUGUGCUUGUUCUGCAUAUGCCGGACCGCAGCGAGUGUGUAUCUGUCUCAGCUGGCCGUCGUCAUGCAGUUUUGAUGCAGUUCUGAGAGCUAUCUACACUAAUAUUUGAAAACAGAUGCAACCCGCAUCAAACUAAAACAACAUGGAGCCAUUAUGAAACUCAACACAGACUAUGUGCGCAUAUGUGUUAUACAGCUAUUUUUAAACUUCUCCCCACGAGUGAUUGUCUGGGGUGAUUUUCACCAGUGUUAAAAUGAAAAGAUCAUUUAAACUGCAUGUUGUCGAUUACCACAGAGUCAGACUAUAACUUUGGCUUCUUUGCAAAUUCACAAUGACAGAAAUCCAUAAAUUUGUCUGAGCCAAGACACAUUUUUGUUUGGGUUUACAAACUGAGGGAUGAAAUCUUUUUUUGUGGUAAAUGACAUGGUAUCUAGCCAAGAACACUCUUUUAAUAUGAGGUUUGUGACCUGUGAUAAGACAUUUUGUUGGCCGCCUGGUUUCUAUUAUUUAUUAUCAUUGGCUAGCCCCGCCCACAGUGAAAUCUCAUUGGUACAAAAUAACACUACUUGUUUUGAUAUUAAACAUCAAGUAUCUUCUAAUUGGCUGUGAUUUUGGAGCAUUUUGGUUUUUAAUGACGACAGGAAAAUCACUCCUGAUUAGGUCUGGGGGAACUGUAGGUAAAAUUAUGGGCUGGGUUUGGCAGUGUGAUGAUUGGCAGUUGCUUUCUUGCUCCUUCAUUCCCCCUCAGCCUCAGCAAAAAUACGACAGAUGUGAAAAUCCCUCGUUCAAGAAGGGCGAUCGGGCUCGUCAUCAACAGACGGUUCAUCAGGAAUAUCUGUUUUCAGUACAAGUGACAAACAGAAACAUGUACAAUAAUUUUCUUCCAUUUUUGCUCAGUUAUUUACAAAAAAGUUUUUCAAAACAUGAAAUCAGGAGACUUCUUCCAUAUAUCAUCAACAUUUAUCAUCAAGAAUAACAGAAAAACACAGAGCACGCACACACAUACAGACGCACAGAGAGUCGAACGGAAACGGAAAGAGAAGAAGAAUUAUUACUUGUAACGCCGUUUUUAACGUCAUUCAGAAGAAGUCGCACUAAAACCCUGACAGGGAGGAGUCACGCUUCCUGACGGACAGCUCUUCAAACCAAUAAAGAGAAGUGAACGGGGAGCUGGAGCUGGAAUGACAGAGCUGAAGUGAGAGAGACAGAUAAAGAGAGAGAUAAAGAAACUGACAGACACAAUUUGGAAUAUGUCACAAACGCACUAUGAUUGACCAUCACACACACACCACAGAACCAAAUCCGCUCUAAUAAAGCUUUCCUGUCAUCAGAGAGAGAAGAGUUACCCGUCCACAGGUCAGAUGAGGGCAUUUAGAUCUCUAAUAAAGUAGCUCCAGAGCUACAAUUGCAAAAAAGUUCAUGUCAACAAACUACAUUGCAGCUGGCUUUGCACAGAACAAGAAAAAGACAAAAAUGCCUGUUGAUGCUUUGUUAGCGGGCUUCUGGUGGCAAAUUAUUUAACAAAUGAUAUAAGGGGAACUAGCUUACAUCCUGUAGUGUUGCUCUCCAAAUCACAAACUAGAUCUCUUUAUUACCUCAAUUAUUUCUCUGAGACAGAAAUUAGAUUAAAUGGAGAUUUGCGCUGAUUUAUCCCCUUAGAAAAAGACACAACUAAUCACACAUGCAUCUCGUCAAUCUUACAUUUUGUAGUCUGUGCCCGGCAAAUUACAGAUUAGAUCUCCUUACUAACUCACUUAUUUCUCAGAGACAGAAAUGAGAUUAAAUGGAGAUUUCUCCUUAGAAAAAGACCAAAGUAAUCACACAUGCAUCUCCUCUAGUGUACCUUUUGUAGUGUACGUUCGGCAAAUCACAAACUAUAUUUCCUUAUUAUUUCAAUUAUUUCACAGAGACAUAAAUGAGACUAAAUGGAGAUUCAUGCUGAUUUUCCUCUUUAGAAAAAGACCCAAGAAAUCGCACAUGCAUCUCAUCAAGCUUACAUUUUGUAGUCUGUCCUUGGCAAAUUACAGAUUAGAUCUCCUUACUCUCUGAGAGACAGAAAUGAGAUUAAAUGGAGAUUCACACUGGUUUUUCUCCUUAGAAAUAGUCCCAAGUUAUUGCACAUGCGUCUCAUAAAGCUUACAUUUUGUAGUCUGUGCUCUGCAAAUUACAGAUUAGAUCUCCUGACUAUCUCACUUAUUUCUCAGAGACAGAAAUGAGAUUAAAUGGAGAUUCGCACUGAUAUUUCUACUUAGAAAAAGACCCAAGUAAUCGCACAUGCAUCUCCUCCAGUGUACAUUUUGUAGUGUGUGCUUGGCAAAUCACAAACUAUAUCUCCUUAUUAUCUCAAUUAUUUCUCAGAGACAGAAAUGAGAUUAAAUAGAGAUUCACGCUGAUUUUUCUUCUUAGAAAAAGACCCAAAUAAUCGCACAUGCAUCUCAUCAAGCUUACAUUUUGUAGUCUGUGCUUGGCAAAUUACAGAUUCGAUCUCCUUACUAUCUCAAUUAUUUCUCAGAGACAUAAAUGAGAUUAAAUGGAGAUUUGUGCUGAUUUAUUUCUUGAGAAAAUGACCCCAAUAAUUGCACAUGUAUCUCCUUCUAUCUUACAUUUUAUAGUGUGCACUUGGCAAAUUACAGUUUAGAUCUCCUUACUAUCUCACUUAUUUCUCAGAGACAGAAAUGAGAUUAAAUGGAGAUUCAUGCUGAUUUUUCUCCUUAAAAAUAAACCCAAGAAAUCACACAUGUAUCUAGCCUACAUUUUGUAUUUUGCACUCUGCAAAUCACAAAUUAGAAUGCAUCUCCUCUAGCGUUUUAGUAUCUCAGUGACAUCUCAAACUGUGCUCUGAAGUCUUCUAACAAAAGUCACAGAUCUCAAUAUUCUCAUCACAUUCUCCUAAGAGUUCCUGCUGUCCACAUUAAUUUUACAGCUCUAUACCCUUACAUACAGCCUCAUUUGUGUUUAUUUUUAUUGAUUUGAGAUGAAGUUGACGCUUAAAUAAAACUGAACUACAAGCAGCUGCUAAGCAAUAAAAUGUGCAGUUUAUCAGCUGCUCAACCGAACACCUCAGACCGUAAGUGUCUCCAGUCGAGACCUGCAUGAUGCAACCCUCUGCAAACACCCGCUGCCGCUAAACUCAUUUUUAUUAUUUUUUUCUUUCUUGCUCUCAUCUCUGAAGAGCAGCUAAUUGGAUGGAGGAGUGACUGAUGUACGGCGUGUGAAUUUGUCUUUCUGAUAAUGUUUGUGUGUAGGAGCGAACACGGAAACUGCUGCUGUGUGUGUGGGAGAUGCGUGACGUGCUCAUGCAUGUGGAAAAAUUGUUUUUUUAAAUCAGUAAUUUGGUAAAAUGAAGAACUGAAAUUAUUGUUGCUGGUUAAUGAGCUGAAAAACAAUCGCAUGUGUUUGUGAUGCUUCAAACAAGCACGAGUGUGUUAUGUGCGUGUGUGCGAGAGAACUUUAGCCCAGUUUUCCUAAAAAAACAACCCAAAAGGACCAAGCGGAAAAUAAUUCACAGUGACACUGACUGCCAAAACAAUCAUACUGCUCUAUAAUACACACACAGGUGAACGCACGUGCACACACACAUACUGUGCAGACCAAAGGUGCUGGUCAGCACAGGGGUCAGUGACCAUCACACACACUUCAGACUGCUGACUGAGUCUCAUGAGAAUAAAAACCAAAUAAAGCUCAACUGUCCCGCAGCAUUUAUUCAGGGAUUAUUAAACAAACAAUGAUUUUUACAACCGAUGAAGUGUGUCAUUUCUGCACAGCAAGCAGCACCAAACAAAACUGCAAAAAUAGCUAAUUUUUUUAGGAUGUUCUGGAUCGUUGCUAGGGUUAAGGGUUUGAACCCUCUUCCAUUGUUAAUAAAACAAGUUGCCCAAUCUCACUCCAUUGGUUGAGCGAGAUGUUGACAUGUCGGGCUGCUCCAACAACAGACUCACAAUGUUUACACUCUACAGGAAGUCAAACCAGCAAUAGCUUACUUACAGUUGACAUUAAAUGCCACCUUUAGGUUAACAUAUGAUUGUAAAAGAGUGUGUCUGGAUGGGGUUUGUGAUCUGACACACAUUACAGAAGUUAAACUGUCCAGGAACACUGACCCUGAUUCACUGACUCAAUAUUUAUUUUCUCCAGUCAGCAGCUGUGUACAUCACAUGCGUACAUGCACAAACGCACACGUACAACUAGCUUCGAUUGGUGAGGCGAAAAAUAAGGUGACCUCACACGUGACUGCACACACAUACAGUACACAUUGAAAAUGUACUCAAAUUUUGCUUAAACAAACACAUGCAUGUGCUCACACUCAGCAGAUGUGGAAUCUUGCACAACGUUUGUGUACGCUAAAGGGUAAGAUAUGGAGAAUGAACACAAACGCACGCAAUUUAAGCUGUACUAUUAUCUGAUUACAUCGGGUGCAUUAGAGUGCUCUAUUAAACGCUCCACUGAUCUGAGAUGGCUCCUGGCUGAAAGCAGAUGUACUGUGGACCCUUAAAUACAGUCUGGAAGAUGUGCUACAUCGUUGCCUCCGAUCUGCAAAAGAUCUGCCUCAGCACGGACACACACACGGGCCGGGUCUAUUAAAGACGGCAGAAUCGAACAGCCGAAAAUCAUUACGAGGCCUUCUGGAGUUUUUAUUCAGCUUGAGUUUACUGGUGUUACUUGAACACAGAUAAAAAACUCUAACAUCUAAAGAAUAAAUUAAUAAUAGGUGACAAAGACGCCUGUGAAUAGAAUAUUUUGACAAUGGUAUUUGUAAUGCUACAUCCACACCAGUAGGUGUCAGUAUAAGUCCAAAGCCUCGUUCAGACUGUCAGUCUAAAUCCGUUUUUUGUGCAUAUCUGAUCAGAUUUAUUAAGUGUGAAUUAGUGCUGUAAAAAUAUCGAUAUUUCCAUAUGUAUCGAUACUGGAAUAUCUGAAAUGGUUCCAAUACUCCUCACACGUGAUUCGCCAGGUUGAGGUCACAUGACCAGCUGAAUACUACUUGCUUUAGCUUAGCAGGUUGUCUGAAUAUUCUCUAACAAAUUUGGUUGCAGAACAAAUUACUAAUAGGUGACAAAGACGCCUGUGAAUAGAAUAUUUUGACAAUGGUAUCUGUAAUGCUACAUCCACACCAGUAGGUGUCAGUAUAAGUCCAAAGCCUCGUUCAGACUGUCAGUCCAAAUCCGAUUUUUAUGCAUAUCCGAUUAGAUUUAGCAAGUGAGAACUAGUGUUGUCAAAAAUAUUUUGAUAUGUAUCGAUACUGGAAUAUCUGAAAUGGUUCCAAUAUUCCUCACAUGAGAUUCGCCAUGUUGAGGUCACAUGACCAGCCGAAAACUACUUGCUUUAGCUUAAUAGGUUGUCUGAAUAUUCUCUAACAAUUUUGGUUGCAGAACAAAUUAAUAAUAGGUGACAAAGACGCCUGUGAAUAGAAUAUUCUGACAAUGGUAUCUGUAAUGCUACAUCCACACCAAUAGGUGUCAGUAUAAAGUCCAAAGCCUCGUUCAGACUGUCAGUCUAAAUCCGUUUUUUGUGCAUAUCGGAUCAGAUUUAGCAAGUGUGAAUUAGUGCUGUAAAAAUAUCGAUAUUUCCAUAUGUAUCGAUACUGGAAUAUCUGAAACGGUUCCAAUACUCCUCACACAUGAUUCGCCAGGUUGAGGUCACAUGACCAGCUGAAUACUACUUGCUUUAGCUAAGUAGGUCGUCUGAAUAUUCUCUAACAAUUCUGGUUGCAGAAUAAUUUAAUAAUAGG